GGUCAGGAUUAACGCUGGCGGCGUGCCUAAUACAAUGCAAGUCGGAUGGUAGCAAGUACCAUGGCGAACGGGUGAGUAACACGUAGGUAACCUGUCAUUAAAGACGAGAAUAACCAUUGGAAACGAUGGAUAAUGCUGGAUAGGAUAUUUAAGGGCAUCCUUGAAUAUUUAAAGAUUUAUCACUUAAUGAGGGGCCUGCGGCGCAUUAGCUAGUUGGAAAGGUAAAGCUUACCAAGGCGAUGAUGCGUAGCCGGACUGAGAGGUUGAACGGCCACAAUGGAACUGAGAACGGUCCAUACUCCUACGGGAGGCAGCAGUAGGGAAUUUUCGGCAAUGGGCGGAAGCCUGACCGAGCAAACCGCCGCGUGAUCGAUGAAGUAUUUCGGUAUGUAAAGAUCUUUUAUUAGGGAAGAAAAGACAGAUUGACGGUACCUAAUGAAUAAGCUCCGGCUAACUACGUGCCAGCAGCAGC
rnacentral:rRNA from 1 species